GGGGAUUCCUAUCUGGAAUUUGACAAUUCCUCCCUCAGUUGACACAGAGGAAGGUCCCUGUGGAAGUCAGCUGCACCUCCUACAGGCAGAGCCCAAGAGGGAGCAGCUGGCAAAGCAGAAAUGUGGUUUGCAAAAUCCCAGCCCUAGCAUCAUAAAGGUAGGUGGGUUUGGAGCUAAGAG
rnacentral:lncRNA from 13 species